GAUAUCAACUGAAAAAGUCAUCAACAACAAAGUUGAAUAACUCAUCAAGAUCUAAAACUUUUAUUUUGGUCAUUUCUUCAUACGACAAAGUGAUAGUAACAUUGUUCACAAAAUUGACAUAUCUCUUAUCUGGUUUUAUAAACUAUAACACAUAUAUGUAAAAUUUGUGAAUAAUAUUACUAACAUUUCGUCGGAUGAAGAAAUAACAAAAAUAAAAGUUUUAGAUCUUGAUGAGUUAUUCAACUUUGUUGUUGAUGACUUUUUCAAUUAAAAUC
rnacentral:pre_miRNA from 1 species